UACGAAGGGGGCUAGCGUUGCUCGGAAUCACUGGGCGUAAAGCGCACGUAGGCGGACUCUUAAGUCAGGGGUGAAAUCCUGGAGCUCAACUCCAGAACUGCCUUUGAUACUGGGAGUCUUGAGUUCGGGAGAGGUGAGUGGAACUGCGAGUGUAGAGGUGAAAUUCGUAGAUAUUCGCAAGAACACCAGUGGCGAAGGCGGCUCACUGGCCCGAUACUGACGCUGAGGCGCGAAAGCUAGGGGAGCAAACAGG
rnacentral:rRNA from 1 species